rnacentral:rRNA from 1 species
GUGAGGAAUAUUGGGCAAUGGGCGCAAGCCUGACCCAGCAACGCCGCGUGGAGGAUGAAGGCCCUUGGGUUGUAAACUCCUUUUCUGGGGGAAGAGUAAGGACGGUACCUCAGGAAUAAGUCACGGCUAACUACGUGCCAGCAGCCGCGGUAAUACGUAGGUGGCAAGCGUUAUCCGGAAUUACUGGGCGUAAAGCGCACGCAGGUGGCUGGUCAAGUCUGGCGUGAAAGCUCCUGGCUUAACUGGGAGAAGUCGUUGGAAACUGACUGGCUGGAGGCAAUGAGAGGGGUGCGGAAUUCCCGGUGUAGUGGUGGAAUGCGUAGAUAUCGGGGGGAACACCAGUGGCGAAAGCGGCACCCUGGCAUUGUCCUGACGCUCAUGUGCGAAGGCGUGGGGAGCGAACGGGAUUAGAAACCCGGGUAGUCC